rnacentral:rRNA from 1 species
CCCGCUGAACUUAAGCAUAUCAAUAAGCGGAGGAAAAGAAACUAACAAGGAUUCCCCUAGUAACUGCGAGUGAAGCGGGAAAAGCUCAAAUUUAAAAUCUGGCGGUCUUUCGGCCGUCCGAGUUGUAAUCUGGAGAAGCGUUUAUCCGCCUUGGACCGUGUACAAGUCUUCUGGAAGGGAGCGUCAUAGAGGGUGAGAAUCCCGUCUUUGACACGGACUACCAAUGCUUUUGUGAUGCGCUCUAGAAGAGUCGAGUUGUUUGGGAAUGCAGCUCAAAAUGGGUGGUAAAUUCCAUCUAAAGCUAAAUAUUGGCGAGAGACCGAUAGCGAACAAGUACCGUGAGGGAAAGAUGAAAAGCACUUUGGAAAGAGAGUUAAACAGUACGUGAAAUUGUUGAAAGGGAAACGUUUGAAGUCAGUCGCGUUGACCGAGACUCAACCUUGCUUCCGCUCGGUGCACUUCUCGGUUGACGGGUCAGCAUCAAUUUCGACCGCCGGAUAAAGGCUGAGGGAACGUGACAUCUUUCGAGGUGUGUUAUAGCCCUCGAUCUCGCAUACGAGCGAUUGAGGAUUGAGGAACUCAGCGCAGCCUUUAUGGUCGGAGUAGCACACGCACGUUACGCGCUCAGGAUGCUGGCAUAAUGGCUUUAAGCGACCCGUCUUGAAACACGG